GCGAACGCUGGCGGCAGGCCUAACACAUGCAAGUCGAACGAACUCUUCGGAGUUAGUGGCGGCCGGGUGAGUAACACGUGGGAACGUGCCUUUUGGUUCGGAAUAACUCAGGGAAACUUGUGCUAAUACCGAAUGUGCCCUUCGGGGGAAAGAUUUAUCGCCAUUAGAGCGGCCCGCGUCUGAUUAGCUAGUUGGUGAGGUAACGGCUCACCAAGGCGACGAUCAGUAGCUGGUCUGAGAGGAUGACCAGCCACACUGGGACUGAGACACGGCCCAGACUCCUACGGGAAGCAGCAGUGGGGAAUCUUGCGCAAUGGGCGAAAGCCUGACGCAGCCAUGCCGCGUGAAUGAUGAAGGUCUUAGGAUUGUAAAAUUCUUUCACCGGGGACGAUAAUGACGGUACCCGGAGAAGAAGCCCCGGCUAACUUCGUG
rnacentral:rRNA from 1 species